UCACCGAUAGUCUUGAACAUUUUUAAAACACAGUAGGCUUUUAAGCUUAAGCCAGAGUGAAUGGUAAAGGAAAUACCAUCCAUGUGGUGAAACAUCAUCCCAAACGCCCUGCAACAUUUACUAACUCACUGGCUCUGUGAACUCAUUAUUGUUGCGAGAUCUGCCAUUAAUUUUCAAGUCCAUGUUUUGGAGAGAAAACGCAUUUACACAAUUACAAGAGUCCAAUAAUUGAUCUUCUAAGUUAAAACUGGACAUACUCAGCUGUCAGGUACCUGAAGCAAUGCUAGAUUAUGAAGUGUGUAAUGAAGAAAGAAAACUAAAGACGGAUUCAUCCUGACCUUGGAAAUUUUCAGUAAACCUUUGGGAAACUGCCGUGGUCUGGUCACAUCUCUGCUGUGAGGUUGCUUUUGUCUUCUGAGACCUGAGUUUAUAGGAAUCACUGGUUCAAGAGAGAGUGGGACCCUGAGAGAGCAGAACUUGCUGAAGGAGCUUGAUGCACAGGAGAGGUUAGCAAGGUGCCUAGUGAGCUCUCUGAAGGGCAGAGGGUCAUCUUGCUUCAAGUUCCAGAAGAAUAUGUUUCCUCCCAUGGAAGUGAACUAAAGAGCACCAUCCAGAAGAAAUCAGGACUCAUUGGUGGGAGGUUCCAAGGCUCAAAGACAUUUGGCAGCAUUGUCAAUAAAGACGUUCAAGUCAGAAGACUAGAUCUUGGCUUAUCUUCAA